UGGGAUACCUAGAAAGCAGUGGACACAUAGUGAACAAUCCAGACACAAUGGAACUGAUUCAUCUGUGAGCCAGAGGCCUCUGCAGGCAGCAGGCCUCAAGGAUGAAGGCAAAGACAGCAAAUGC